rnacentral:rRNA from 1 species
GCAUAUCAAUAAGCGGAGGAAAAGAAACCAACAGGGAUUGCCCCAGUAACGGCGAGUGAAGCGGCAACAGCUCAAAUUUGAAAUCUGGCCCCCCGGCCCGAGUUGUAAUUUGGAGAGGAUGCUUCUGGCGCGGCGCCGUCCGAGUUCCUUGGAACAGGACGCCACAGAGGGUGAGAGCCCCGUACGGACGGACGCCUAGCCUCUACGAAGCUCCUUCGACGAGUCGAGUAGUUUGGGAAUGCUGCUCAAAAUGGGAGGUAAAUUUCUUCUAAAGCUAAAUACCGGCCAGAGACCGAUAGCGCACAAGUAGAGUGAUCGAAAGAUGAAAAGCACUUUGAAAAGAGGGUUAAAAAGUACGUGAAAUUGUUGAAAGGGAAGCGCCUGUGACCAGACUUGCGCCCCGCGGACCACCCGGCGUUCUCGCCGGUGCACUCUGCGGUGCGCAGGCCAGCAUCGGUUCUCCCAGGGGGACAAAGGCCGCGGGAACGUAGCUCCUUCGGGAGUGUUAUAGCCCGCGGCGGCAUGCCCCUGGGGGGACCGAGGACCGCGCUUCGGCAAGGAUGCUGGCGUAAUGGUCACCAGCGACCCGUCUUGAAACACGGACCAAGGAGUCAAGCAUUGGGGCGAGUGUAUGGGUGCCAAACCCGCACGCGAAAUGAAAGUAAACGCAGGUGAGAGCUUCGGCGCAUCAUCGACCGAUCCUGAUGUCUUCGGAUGGAUUUGAGUAAGAGCCUUACCGCUUGGACCCGAAAGAUGGUGAACUAUGCCUGAAUAGGGUGAAGCCAGAGGAAACUCUGGUGGAGGCUCGCAGCGGUUCUGACGUGCAAAUCGAUCGUCAAAUUUGGGCAUGGGGGCGAAAGACUAAUCGAACCAUCUAGAA